UUGAUUCCUUUGGGAAAGAGGACUAUUAUUCAAGAAAAGUUCUCUACAACUGGAGGAACUACCUUAAAAGGAUGGAGAGAAGGGGCUGAGGCAUGGCAGGUGGAGACUGUGCACCACAAUAAACAGCAGGAUGCCAGUAGCUGCAGAGUUUUAGUUAUGAAGUUUGCAGAAAACUUCCUCACUGAGGAAUCCACAGAGGUCAUCACCACAGCAGAGCCUUUGCAUGAAUACA